AACGAGCGCUGGCGGCAUGCCUAACACAUGCAAGUCGAACGAGACCUUCGGGUCUAGUGGCGCACGUGUGCGUAACGCGUGGGAACCUGCCCUUAGGUUCGGAAUAACUCCCCGAAAGGGGUGCUAAUACCGGAUAAUGUCUUCGGACCAAAGAUUUAUCGCCUCUGGAUGGGCCCGCGUUGGAUUAGCUAGUUGGUAGGGUAAAAGCCUACCAAGGCGACGAUACAUAGCUGGUCUGGGAGGAUGAUCAGCCACACUGGGACUUAGACACGGCCCAGACUCCUACGGGAGGCAGCAGUGGGGAAUAUUAGAGAAUGGACGAAAGCCUGAGCCAGCAAUGCCGCGUGAGUGAUGAAGGCGUUAGGGUUGGAAAGCUCUUUUACCCGGGAUGAUAAGGACAGUACCGGGAGAAUAAGCUCCGGCUAACUCCGUGC
rnacentral:rRNA from 1 species